rnacentral:lncRNA from 1 species
UAUUAGGGCUAACCCCAAAUCCUCUCCUUUUUUAUACUCCACCAUUCCCUAGCUAUGAUCACCCAUUUUAUUCUGCAAGCUCAAGCUAAGCCAGUCGAUUUUCCGAUCAUUAUGUACCAAGUCCAGUCAUGUAGGUACUAUUCGUCAACGAUGUCAAAUAAAUGUUUGCCAACGGAAGAAUCUAUAGUAAUGGAAAUAAGGUAUAUGAUCUCAGAAAAGCAUAACACUGUGAUUAACAUUCAAUCCAAAUGAUUAACCAAUCAAAAAAGGUCAAAUACAGUUUUAUAGUAUCAAGAGUUAACUAACCCAAUCACUAACUGAACCAUCACUAAUUAACUACAGUAAACUAAAUAUUGUUGAUUUAAGAGAAAAGAACCAACAAAAUCUGGAGAAUUCAUCAAUAAUUAAAAGAUAGUAUUUAUCUCCAUUGAUUGAUGGAGUUGGAGCCGGGUCCCAUACUUUCAUAUGAAGUAUUUCUAAAGGUAUAUUACUAUUUUCUUCCCUACAACUAAAUGACUUCUUCUUCAUUUUAUUUAGGGAGCAAUGUAUACAAUUUUAUUUUAAAUUUUUGUAAUUAAUUUUAUGAUAUUUUAAAAGUAUUUGGGUUGAAGGGUGUCAACACCUUUUAUGUCAUAAUUCUAUUGAAUUUAUUGUUAACUUAGAAGUGUUGGAUCGUGAUCCAAGGCUAUAAGGGGAGAUAAUAGUCUCUUUUCGAUUUAUACAGGUUGAUUGCGGAAUUACAUGUAACCACUUAAGACACAAAUGGUUGAACAAUAAUGAUAUCGGAAUAUUAUAACUCUGAAUGAUAUAAUAACGUAAUUAUUACUCUUCGAAGCUUACUACAGUAUAUGAAUACUGAGUCAACUUGCUUGAUAGUGUUUUACAACCAACUGAAUCAGUAUAUGAGUACUAAGUUAUAUUGUAAACACAAGUUAUAUUAUAGAGUAACUGACCAGAUAACUGGAUAUAUUGAUAAGCAAGUAAAUGACCAGAUAACUGGAUGUAUAUAUUUGAUAAGUAGAUGCUUGAAAGAAAUUAAGGCAAGUAAUAUAACCUCAAAUAGUUGACUAGAUAACUGGAUGAGGGAUCUGCUGAAAAAUAGUCAACCUCUAUAUUUGACCAGAUAACUGGAAGAGGGAUCUUUUUUAAUUAAAUGUUGUUUAGUUGUUUUUAUAAGAAAUAUAUAAAACUAAAGUUAACAAAAAACAACACAAGAGAUUUAUACUGGUUCACCCAAACAAGGGUUAAUCCAUUCCCGACCAACUGUCAGAAUUUACUAGCCUAAAGGUUAUGACAAAACCUUAGUCUAGAGUAUCAAGGAAACUCUUAAGAACUUUUCUAAGCUUUAAGGCUACUUCGUUUAGGAACCAGUCUUUUACGGGUAGACUCACACCUUAGAGGAUCAAGGGCACUCUUAAGAACCUCUAACUUUUGCGGGUAAGUUAGUACCUUAGAGUAUCAAGGAACUCUUAAAAAUCUCUCUAAGUUUUAAGGCUACUUCACUUAGGAACCAGUCUUUUACGGGUAGACUCACACCUUAGAGUAUCAAGGGCACUCUUAAGAACCUCUAACUUUUACGGGUAAAUUAGUAUCUUAGAGUAUCAAGGAACUUUUAAAAACCUAGAAAUCUUUCAAGGUAGAUUCGACCUAAGAGUUUUCCCGGAAACUCUAUAAAAUCAAACUAGAGCUUUAUGGUUAAGCUCAAAAACCUUCUCUCACACUUUGGUACUAUUGAGACAAUUCUCUCAACCAUAGUGAACACACACAAGAAGUGAUUAGAGGAGUGGAAUAUUAAAGCAAACAAUACUUCUUACUUGUAAAGAUGAACAAGAAGAUUAAAAGAAAAAGUUGAAGAGCUUUUGAAGCUUUGGAAAGCUAUAGGACACUUGAGCACUUGAAAGCUUGGAAGCUUGAAGGCAAAAACGUGUGGGCAAAUGUGAAGUGAAAGCUCUUUGAAUGUUUGUAGUGUGGUGAGUGAAAAUGAGGGGAUUACCCUUCUAUUUAUAGCCUUGGCCACUCAAUGUCCACCCUUGGAUCUUCAAUGGAUGGCUCCUUGAUUUCUCACAUAAAUCUAAGCAUUGUCUUUGAUCAUAUCUUGAAUAGUGCUUUUUUUGGAUAGAGUUUGUUAGAAAAUCUUAUCUUUGAAUAAAUUCAAACUUGACUAGUGUUUUGUCCCCUUGGAAUAUUAUACCUUGAAUAAAGUGUCAAAAGAUAAUAAUAAUAAUAUUCGAGGAAAAAUUCAAUUAUUCCAAAAAAUAAUAUUCAAAGUAAAAAUGCAAUUGUCCCAAUUUGACUUUUAACUUUGACUUAAACUCUUAACUUAAAUGAUUAAUUAAUUAACUGGAGUUAGGUUUAAUAUCGAUUGACUUAUUUAACCUCUAUUGAUUAAUAGUGUAAUUAAAAUUAAAAUUGACAUGAUUAAAAUAUAAUGCUAUGUCGACAAUUUUGAUUCUACAAGAAGUUGCUGCCAACUUUUUAGUUUCAUACAUAUUUGAUGAGUUUAAGUAAUAUAAGUCUCCAUGACUUUUACCCUUAAUUAGAUCCUCACCACUUUCAUUAUCUUGAAUAAUGAAUCCAGAUUCAUUUAAAAUGAAACUACAUUUUAAAUCUCCUUGGUCAUUGAUCUUAUGGAUAAUAAGUUCAUUUUCAUGUCAGGAACACAAAGAGUAUUCCUUAAUGGAAUCUCUCCACUAUCUGAUUUUAAUCUAACAGUUCCUAUAUGUGAAAUUUUUAAACCUAAACCAUUACUAAUUGUAAUAUUAUUCAUACCAGAAUACUCUUGAAUGUCAGAGAGAGCUUCCAAGUCAGGAGUCAUGUGCUUAGUCGCUCCUGAAUCAAGUAGCCAAUUUUCUUCUGGAGCAUCUUCAUUUGCUUCCAUAGCCACAGCAAAAGUUUUCAACCCUUUUCUGCAAGUCCUAGCAUUGUGACCUGUUCUUUCACAGAGUUGACAAAUUAUUGAAUUGUUGUUACUUGAGUUGUUGUUGUUUGAUCGACGCCAUCUGUUGUUGUUUGAUCUGUCUCGAUUUCCAUUUCCAUUAUUAUUGUAUUUUUGAUGAUUGUUAUUGUUAUUGUAAUAAUCUCUGUUUCUGUUUUGACGAUCUUGUCCUCUCUUAUAAUUUGCAGUAAACUCAGCGGGUGCAUCAGAGUUUGCCGGAGUUGCCAAAUUCAUUCUAUGAAUGUACUUGUCUUCUUGAAUAACUAGUUGUACAAAUUCAUCAUAAAUCAGAUUUCGUUGAGAACGUAGACCCGAAACAAAGGGACGAAAAUCUACACCCAGUCUAUCUGUGACAAAGUCUAUUUUUUUCUUGUCAGUGACAACUUCACCGGCCGCUGUCAAAGAAUCAGUUAAAAAUGUUACUUUGAUUAUGAAAUAUCUAAUCGAUUCAUCUUCUCCUUUUCUUUAAAAUUCUGAGCUCGUCCCGAAUUGCUUGUUGAUGCACUGCCUUUCUUGGCGAUAGAUGCGACUAUAAUUUCUUCCAGCACUCAUAUGCUGUACUGUGAUUCAUUACUAAUGAAAACAUUGGUGGUCCAACUGAAGAUUCAAUCCACCCAAGCACUGCUCAAUUCUUUUCCAACCAUAUCUGAUGAGCCGGAUUAGGUGAGCCAUCGCCCUUUUUUUCAAGCGGAAUUUCUUGUUUAUCAUCCACAAUAUCAGAAACAUGAUUUAACCGGAAUAAAUUCUCCAUUUGACCUCUCCAAAAGAGAUAUGUUGAUGCUCCUUCUAGCGGAGUUCUAAUCCAGUGGGAGACUUGACAUUUAUAUAGAGCAUCGGAGAGAGUACCCUUGUCAUGGUUUGUCAUCGGAAAACCACAAAUCAGAAAUCACCACUGCAGUGAAAAAAAAUCACCACUGCAUAUUUCUGAAUGAAUCUCAAAUCAAAUACGAUGAAGAAAAAAAGAAAAAAAUUCUACAUAAUGCAAUAUAAAAAAACCCAGUAAACUAAAGAAUAACAAAAUCUUAGGCAAUGUUAAAAUUCGAUAUAAAAAAAACUAAAUCUGCAAUGACAUUACUAGUUGCAAACUAAGCAUAAUAUCAAACAGUAAUGACAAAUAAGCAAUACUAUCGCAACUAACAAUCAAUGGAGAUACAAUCGCAACUAACAAUUGCAAAUAAUAUCAAAUAAGCAAUCCCAAAAAAAAAUUUGAGAUAAAAACAAUCUGAUAAGCAAUCGAAAGAAAAUUGCAAAUCUGAUAGCAGACCUGUAAUCACAAGUCAAAAGAGAGGGAAAAAACAAAUCGCUGACCUGUAAUCGCAGAAUCCACAAUGGCACGUGACCUGUAGUUUUCAAAGAACCCGCAAAAUAAAAGAAAAACAAAACGCAAAUCUCUAACCUAUAAUUUGCAAAUCACGCGAUCUGGAAAUCGCAAAUCUGUGGAGAUCUUGCAACGUGAUAACCUUGCAAAAUCGUGCGAACCUUCGAAAUCCCAAAUCUUCAAAGAAUCGCAAAUCGCAUAACGGAAAGAUCGCAAAUCGUGCGAAUCCCGGAUCCCAAAUCGCAAAUCGCAGAGUCACGGAAGAAUAAUCGCGGAAGGCAGUCGCGGAAGACAGUCGCGGAAAGCAGACGAUCGCGGAAGGCAAACGAUCGCGGAUGUAGGCGAUCACAGAAGAAUCACGUUCAGCGAUCGGCAGUGAAGCGAGAAAUUUCCGUGAAUUUCGGGAGGAAAAAAAAACCAAAAUCGAUUCCGUGAAUUAGUUAACAGUGAAGCGAGAAAUCUGAUACCAUCUCAAAAAAUAACACUGUGAUUAACAUUCAAUUCAAAAGAUUAACCAAUCAAAAAAGGUCAAAUACAGUUUUAUAGUAUCAAGAGUUAACUAACCCAAUCACUAACUGAACCAUCACUAAU